rnacentral:rRNA from 1 species
AUUGAACGCUGGCGGCAGGCCUAACACAUGCAAGUCGAGCGGGGUUUUCGGACCUAGCGGCGGACGGGUGAGUAAUGCGUAGGAAGCUACCCGAUAGAGGGGGAUACCAGUUGGAAACGACUGUUAAUACCGCAUAAUGUCUACGGACCAAAGUGUGGGACCUUCGGGCCACAUGCUAUCGGAUGCGCCUACGUGGGAUUAGCUAGUUGGUGGGGUAAUGGCUCACCAAGGCGACGAUCCCUAGCUGGUUUGAGAGGAUGAUCAGCCACACUGGAACUGAGACACGGUCCAGACUCCUACGGGAGGCAGCAGUGGGGAAUAUUGGACAAUGGGCGCAAGCCUGAUCCAGCCAUGCCGCGUGUGUGAAGAAGGCCUUCGGGUUGUAAAGCACUUUCAGUAGGGAGGAAGGGUGUUGUGUUAAUACGUGAGUAUUUUGACGUUACCGACAGAAUAAGCACCGGCUAACUCUGUGCCAGCCGCCGCGGUAAGAC